UUUAUGGGAUUCUAGUGAAAACAAAUGGCAAAAAAAAGAAGUGAGUGCUAUAUAAAUAAUGUAGUUAGUUGUGCAAGAAAUAUUUUGUGAUGCAAGAAAAAUGGAGCACCCUUAGAAGUCACGAGCGGCGGAUCGGAUAGUAAUUGAAAGGUUCAGACCAAUGUUUUUAUUCGUAUUGGAAAGCAAAAUGAAGCUGCUUUGGAAAUAAUUUUGCAAUUGAAAUCAGUCGGAGCCCCUGACAAAUCUAGUGUUCAUUGGUUGAAGUUAAUAAUCUGAGGAAACUCAUUCAUUAACACAAUAACUAGGUUUGAGUGUCAUAUUGCUUUAAGACAGUUUACAAUGUUUUUAUAUUUCUUCAAAUGCUUUCAUCUGACAUCAUCACUGUCAUUUUAAGACUGUAAAAGUGAUUUUGAUUGGUGGCCAUCAAAUGAAAAAGCGACAUGUCUCAUUAAAUAUCGAGCAUUUAGUAAAUAUUCCAAAGAUGUCUGAAGCAUUCUGAGGCUGUCUGAAAAAUAUACUGAAGAUUCUUAAAACAGAUUUGAAUUUGCCAUCGACGUCAUCGCACUUUGGAUGAAUGCGGCGCUUUAAAUAUUUUACUUGAUUUAUAUAAAAAAUUAAGAAACCC